UACGUAGGGGGCAAGCGUUGUCCGGAUUUAUUGGGCGUAAAGAGCGUGUAGGCGGCCAAGCAGGUCCGCUGUGAAAACUCGAGGCUCAACCUCGAGACGUCGGUGGAAACCGUUUGGCUAGAGUCCGGAAGAGGCGAGUGGAAUUCCCGGUGUAGCGGUGAAAUGCGCAGAUAUCGGGAGGAACACCAAUGGCGAAGGCAGCUCGCUGGGACGUUACUGACGCUGAGACGCGAAAGCGUGGGGAGCAAACAGG
rnacentral:rRNA from 1 species